ensembl:miRNA gga-mir-2984 gga-mir-2984
GUGCCUGCUGUGAGUGAAAUUGUCUGAGCUGGUGCCGCACUUUAUCAAUUUCACUCUCAGCAGGCUCCGC